GAUGAAGAACGUAGCGAAAUGCGAUAAGUAAUGUGAAUUGCAGAAUUCAGUGAAUCAUCGAAUCUUUGAACGCACAUUGCGCCCGCCAGUAUUCUGGCGGGCAUGCCUGUUCGAGCGUCAUUUCAACCAUCAAGCCCCCGGCUUGUGUUGGGGACCUGCGGCUGCCGCAGGCCCUGAAAAGCAGUGGCGGGCUCGCUGUCACACCGAGCGUAGUAGCAUACAUCUCGCUCUGGGCGUGCUGCGGGUUCCGGCCGUAAAAAGCCUUAUUUACCCAAGGUUGACCUCGGAUCAGGUAGGAAGACCCGCUGAACUUAAGCAUAUCAAUAAGCGGAGGA
rnacentral:misc_RNA from 1 species